rnacentral:piRNA from 1 species
UAAAUGCCCAGAAGAAAAGAGCACA